rnacentral:rRNA from 1 species
GAGCUGUUGGGAACGACCCGAAGCCAAGCGAGCUUGCCAUGAGCAGGGUGAAGGGGGACGAAAGUCCUCCGGAGGCCCGAACCCGUAGAUCGUUCAAUUUCUUGGGAUGACUUGUGGUAAGAAGUGAAAAGCUAAUCGAGCUUGGGAAUAGCUGGUUCUCUCCGAAAUAGCUUUCGGGCUAGCGUCAUCUAUGUCUUCUGGAGGUAGAGCUCUGGAAAGAAUAAUCUUGGAGCAAUCCAGAUAUCCUUACCAAACUCCGAAUGCCGGAAGAAUGAGGAUGGCAGUCAGAACAUGGGGGCUAAGCUCCGUGCUCAAAAGGGAAACAGCCCAGAGCUUCAUCUAAGGUCCCUAAAUCAGACUCAGUGUACUUAAGGAGGUGGAAUUCCAAAGAUAGCGAGGAGGUUCGCUCAGAAGCAGCUAUCCUUUAAAAAGUGCGUAACAGCUUACUCGCUCAGGAGUUCCGCGCCGAAGAUUCAUCGGGACUAAAGUCUGAUACCGAAGAUAAGAGCCUCGCUUUCGAGCGGGGCGGUAGGAGAGCGUCUCUAUCGCAGCGAAGCCUGAACGCGAGUGAAGGUGGAGCGAUGGGGAGUGAGAAUGUUGGCAUGAGUAACCGCAAUGACAGUGAAAGCCUGUCACACCGUAAACCCAAGGAUUCCUUGGCAAUGAUAAUCAACCAAGGGUGAGGCGGGCCUUAGUGUUGGACCGAAGGGUUCUACAUGAUGGACAGCAGGUUAAUAUUCCUGCCCUUCCACGUUUUUCUGAAGAGCAACGCAGGAUAGUAUUCUCGGCGAGUUAUUGGAUUCUCGUCUUCUGUCUGAGGAGCGAUCCCAAGACAGAGGGGAAACCAGUCUCUGACGGGUGAACCGAGGUGAGCAUCCUGCCCAGAAACGCUCGUAGGGAUAAAAACGUGGAAACCGUACCGCAAACCAACACAGGUGGGUUGGCGCGAAUAUGCUAAGGUGAACGAGCGAAACUUCUUUAAGGAACUAGGCAAAAAAGUGGUCGUAACUUCGGGAUAUGACCUACCCUGCAGCAAUGCGGGGUCGCAGCGACUGUUUCUCUAGCGACUGUUUACCAAAAACACAGGUCUCUGCUAAACUCGUAAGAGGAUGUAUAGGGGCUGACGCCUGACCAGUGCUGGUGUGUUAACGAUGCCAGUUGCAGGAUUUAUUCUGCAGCCGAGUGUCCGAAGCCCCAGUGAACGUCCGCGGUAACUAUAACCGUGUUAAAGUAGCGUAAUCUCUUGCCGGGUAAGUUCCGGCCCGCAUGAAAGGCGUAACGACUGGAGAACUGUCUCAAAGAAGCGCUCGGUGAAAAUGCAAUACCGGUAAAGAUGCCGGUUACCUGCGGCUAGACGGAAAGACCCCGGAAGCUUUACUGUAGCUUCCUAUUGUCUUACCAUCUUUGAUACGUAGCGUAGCGGGGAGGCUUUGAAGUCGCGUUCUCGGAUGCGAUGGAGCCGUCAAUGAAACACCCGUUUUUAAAGAGGGUAAGACUAAUCCGCCUGAGGCGGAAACAGUGGGUGGUAGGCAGUUUUAGUGGGGCGCUAGCCUCCUAAAGAGUAGCGGAGGCGUUUUAAAGGUAGGCUAUCCGCCAAUGGAAACGGUGGAGGUCGUGCAAAGGCACAAGCCUGCUUUACUGCGAGACGGAUAUGUCGAGCAGUUGGGAAACCAGAACUUAGUGAACCGAUGCGUUGUCACAGAAAACGCAAAGAUCAUCAGACAAAAGUUACUCCGGGGAUAACAGGCUGGUAGAGCCCGCGAGUCCAUAUC